rnacentral:rRNA from 1 species
UACGUAGGGCGCAAGCGUUGUCCGGAAUUAUUGGGCGUAAAGAGCUCGUAGGCGGCUUGUCACGUCGGGUGUGAAAGACCGGGGCUUAACCCCGGUUCUGCAUUCGAUACGGGCUGGCUAGAGUGUGGUAGGGGAGAUCGGAAUUCCUGGUGUAGCGGUGAAUGCGCAGAUAUCGGGAGGAACACCUGUGGCGAAGGCGGCCCCCUGGGCCGGCCCUGACGCUGAGACGCGAAGGCGUGGGGAGCGAACGGG